UGCAGGGAGAUGUCUCAGAGAAAGUGUUUCUUUGACUCUAUCACUUAUUUGUAUACUUAGCAGGUUCCCACACUCCUCCAGACCUUUGGAGUACUAUAGCAACAGGGGUAGAUGGUGGAAGAGAUCUCAGAGGACCUUAGAGAUUGUUUAACCAAAAUUCUACUUCUACAGAGGCAGUAAGAAAAGUCAAGAAUAUUAAGUUACCUGGGGUCCCAAUCCCUACUGAUAGAAGUAUUGUUGAUAAUUAAGGACUUCUAAAGGUAUACCAGGCGCAUACAUGUGGACAACUACACCUCAGGAAAUGUGAUAGCAUGAUGGGAUUGGCUAACAGAAGGUGUUCCUGACAUAGUAUCAGUUCCCAUAUGGUGAGGAAGAUCCAAGAGGCUUCUCCUGGCUGCUGGGGAAGGAUGUCCAAAAUGAAAAGAAGGGCACCCUGCCCUUGUGCCUAAUGAACUGGCAUAUUUCUGGAAAACUAAAACUUAACAGAUGAGGCAUUGUGGCCUAAAUGUGGCACUAGAUUCAGUUCUAAUUCUGGACCUUGUAGGAACAGAUUUCUCUUCAAAUUUGUGAGUCAAGGGAGGACACUCUGAGUUGAAUUUGAACUUCAUGGUUACUACCCUUUAAAAACUAAUUUUAUUGUAGGAUCUUCUAAAAAAGGGCCUCAUCAAAAUUUGCUAUCUACCUAUUAACUACCUUAAAAUGACAUGAGGAAACUGGAUGGGCCAAUGGAGAGGCAGGAAGGUUUUAAUUUAGUGGAAGAAAGAAGAUCUUGGUAGAAUGGAUUAUUAACUGUAAUUGCUGGGAUGAGCUAUAAAAGAAGGUGUGGAAUCUCCAUUUCUACAUUCUUCUGCCAGUGUUGGGCAGUCCUACCUCAGGGUUUGGGCUUACCUGAAUUGGGGUCCUCCUAGCCGACAUACCUGUUAUAAUACUUAGAAAAUGAUACCUUGAAAAUUUUCUGCUUUAUAUUAAUUAUUUCUUAAAUUUACUACAAGUAUAACAACAGAUAUAUAUUCAAUUUCUUUUUCAAAAAUGGAAAUUUUGGUAUUGCACAUAUUAGAUGGUAAGGGAGUUUGUCAAGUUGCAUAUUCUACGCAUUCAUAAGGCAUUUUUAGCAUAAACAUAUUUUACCAAGAUAGACUCUAGAAACCACUGAAAAUCAGUUUUUU